rnacentral:rRNA from 1 species
UACAGAGACUGCAAGCGUUAUUCGGAUUCACUGGGCGUAAAGGGUGCGCAGGCGGCCAAGUGUGUUAGGCGUGAAAGCCCGGGGCUUAGCUCCGGAAUUGCACCUAAAACUACAUGGCUAGAGCAUUGGAGAGGGUAGCGGAAUUCACGGUGUAGCAGUGAAAUGCGUAGAUAUCGAGAGGAACACCAGUGGCGAAGGCGAGUCCCUGGACAACACCUGA